UGGGGAAUCUUGCACAAUGGGGGCAACCCUGAUGCAGCGACGCCGCGUGAGCGAUGAAGCCCUUCGGGGCGUAAAGCUCUUUCGACCGGAACGAUAAUGACGGUACCUGGAGAGGAAGCCCCGGCUAACUCUGUGCCAGCAGCCGCGGUAAUACAGAGGGGGCAAGCGUUAUUCGGAAUUAUUGGGCGUAAAGGGCGCGUAGGCGGUGUCUUAAGUGGGAUGUGCAAUCCCCGGGCUUAACCUGGGAACUGCAUCCCAGACUGGGACGCUGGAGUACUGGAGAGGGUGGUGGAAUUCCACGUGUAGCGGUGAAAUGCGUAGAGAUGUGGAGGAACACCAGUGGCGAAGGCGGCCACCUGGACAGUAACUGACGCUGAGGCGCGAAAGUGUGGGUAGCAAACA
rnacentral:rRNA from 1 species